CUCCAAGCGCCUCUUGAUGGUGUCCAUGCCGUUGUUCUCUGUCAGAAGCCUGUCCAGCUCAUAGCACAGCUCGGACUUCCAGAAGCCGAUGUCCGACAGCCUCUGGCCCAGGUUCCGGGAGGUCCCUUCCUGCAUCUGACGUGUCAGCUGGUCCUUAUCCUGCAUAAUCCGCAGGGAGUCGCUGGUCAGUCGGCUGGCCCAGAGCCGCGAGGCCUCUGCGCCCCGGAGCUGCAGCUCGUUGGAGCGGUCCCAGUCGCGUGGGGUGUAGCGACAGAAGAGUGCGGAGCGGAGCGAGGGCAGGAUGGUGGGGGGACGCCGGGAGCCUUGGCAUUCUUCUGGGCAUGUCUGGGUGGUGGCGAUCUUGUAGAAGACGCUGGGUUUCCACGCAUUCAGGUAGCGGUACCCGGGCAGAUGAAAGGGUUGGUAGCACUCCUGUACCACAGGAGCCUGCCCACCAGGGGGCGGCCCCUGCAAGCCACAGUCUUUCUUGGGUCCACAGUAACUGGCUGUCUGAGUGGUUCCAAGAAAUUCCAUCUUUCCCCAUCAGCCCCACGCGGGCAAAACUCCGCCCAAGGAGCCAGGGCAUCCCAGGAGCCAGAAGCCACAGGGCCUCUGUGACUCAGUGCUGGUGUCAUAAAGCGCGGGAGAGGGUCUUUGUGCCAGGUCCUCCUUCUCCAGGUAGUUGGAGGCCCUAUGAUCCAAAUAAAAAGCAGUCAACAAAGAGAAGCGCGUUUAAGGGACUGGAGAGACUGCUUGGCGGUUAAGAGCAAAGGACUCGAGUUCCCAGUACCCACGCACGUCACAGCCGCCUGUAAUCUAGCUCAAGGAGAUCUGAUUCCUCUGGCCUUCACGGGAACCCACGCACACAAACACAAAUGCACAUAACCAAAAAGAAAAUAAAAACAAGCCCCCUCCCUUUUUUUUUUAGUUUGACAACCCACAGGUUUGGGGUUGAAAGAAACGGCAGGUGUCUGUCAUUCUGGAACAACAAUGUCUGCCUUUCUAGAGCUGGAUCAGUGGGGGUGGGAGGGAGCGGGUGGGGGAGGGGGUAGUGCCCCACCAGCUGAGCCAACAUUAACUGGUUUUCUCUUUCCUUGUUCCCAAGGUAACAUGAAAAUGGCCCAACCACGCCUGCAAUCCCGGCACUUGGGAGGUGGAGGCAGGAAGGAGAUGAACACAUGGCCAUCCUCAGUUAUAUGUGCUUUUGUUUUGUUUUGAGACAAGGCUCUGUGUACCCAGGCUUGCCUCAAACUGGCUAUGUGGCUAAGGACGACCACGAACUUCUGAUUCUGCCCUGUGGCUGUCCUAAAUGUUGAGAUUAUGGGCCUAUGACACCGCAGGGUGUGUGCGGAAGUUUGAGCCCAGGGCUUCCUGCAUGCUAGGCAAGCAUUCUACCACCCACAUCCCAAGCCCUUGGUUCAUGAGUUUAAGGAUAGCCUGGGCUACAUGUGACUGAUUCCAAAUAUCAGAUACUUUAAAAUGGCCCGUGCAGAGCACAGAGUGGUUCUCAGCAGGUGUGUUCACACCAGCAGGAAUCGUCUUGGAGGUGCUGGACUAAGUGUGAGCGAGCAUUCAGACUGUAAAACCUAACUCGGAGUGACGGCUUUUGCAUGACAUUCGAGCAGCCUUCGAGGAAGGAGGGAAGAGAGAAGAGAGAUUCGCUGAUUGCUGCUGAACGGGUUGGAACAUGAUGUGUCCUUUGGCUCCACUGAAAACGGACAGUUAGGUGGGCCUGGUUCUGUGCCCAGGGACAUCAGUGAGAAACAACCCAAGGGGUCCUGUCUCUGGGCUCUGCAGUGUGGAGGAGUGAAAUCAUCCCAUGGUCUGGAUAGUUCCAGAAGAGCCUGCUGUCUGUGUGACAAGCCACUAGUCCUUCUGAGUCUUGUAGUAAAAGGAGAACAGCUUGGACUUUCCCCGCAAUAAAAGCAGUGUUAAGAGCGCA